AGAGCGAACGCUGGCGGCAGGCUUAACACAUGCAAGUCGAGCGGGCGUAGCAAUACGUCAGCGGCAGACGGGUGAGUAACGCGUGGGAACGUACCUUUUGGUUCGGAACAACACAGGGAAACUUGUGCUAAUACCGGAUAAGCCCUUACGGGGAAAGAUUUAUCGCCGAAAGAUCGGCCCGCGUCUGAUUAGCUAGUUGGUGAGGUAACGGCUCACCAAGGCGACGAUCAGUAGCUGGUCUGAGAGGAUGAUCAGCCACAUUGGGACUGAGACACGGCCCAAACUCCUACGGGAGGCAGCAGUGGGGAAUAUUGGACAAUGGGCGCAAGCCUGAUCCAGCCAUGCCGCGUGAGUGAUGAAGGCCCUAGGGUUGUAAAGCUCUUUUGUGCGGGAAGAUAAGUGACGGUACCGCAAGAAUAAGCCCCGGCUAACUUCGUGCCAGCAGCCGC
rnacentral:rRNA from 1 species